GAGGAUGUAGUUUAUUUUAGAAUUUUAAAUUGUAAAUUUAAAGGUUUUGUCUUUG
rnacentral:tRNA from 2 species